GGCAACGUGGCCGAGUGGUCUAAGGCGCUGGAAUUAGGUACCCUCGGGUCUCUCCUCAUCCAGUCCGAAAGGGCGAGGGUUCGAACCCCUCCGUUGUCA